rnacentral:tRNA from 1 species
AGUAAAGUCAGCUAAAUAAGCUUUAAGGUCCAUAACCUUGAUAUGAAGGCUAAAAUCCUUCCUUUACAC